rnacentral:rRNA from 1 species
AUUGAACGCUGGCGGCAUGCCUUACACAUGCAAGUCGAACGGUAACAGGUCUUCGGAUGCUGACGAGUGGCGAACGGGUGAGUAAUACAUCGGAACGUGCCUAGUAGUGGGGGAUAACUACUCGAAAGAGUGGCUAAUACCGCAUGAGAUCUACGGAUGAAAGCAGGGGAUCGCAAGACCUUGUGCUACUAGAGCGGCCGAUGGCAGAUUAGGUAGUUGGUGGGAUAAAAGCUUACCAAGCCGACGAUCUGUAGCUGGUCUGUGAGGACGAUCAGCCACACUGGGACUGAGACACGGCCCAGACUCCUACGGGAGGCAGCAGUGGGGAAUUUUGGACAAUGGGCGAAAGCCUGAUCCAGCAAUGUCGCGUGCAGGAUGAAGGCCUUCGGGUUGUAAACUGCUUUUGUACGGAACGAAAAGCCCUGGGUUAAUACCCUGGGGUCAUGACGGUACCGUAAGAAUAAGCACCGGCUAACUACGUGCCAGCCGCCGCAGUAA